rnacentral:rRNA from 1 species
GACGAACGCUGGCGGCGUGCCUAAUACAUGCAAGUAGAACGCACAGUUUAUACCGUAGCUUGCUACACCAUAGACUGUGAGUUGCGAACGGGUGAGUAACGCGUAGGUAACCUGCCUGGUAGCGGGGGAUAACUAUUGGAAACGAUAGCUAAUACCGCAUAAUAUUAAUUAUUGCAUGAUAAUUAAUUGAAAGGUGCAAUUGCACCACUACCAGAUGGACCUGCGUUGUAUUAGCUAGUAGGUGAGGUAACGGCUCACCUAGGCGACGAUACAUAGCCGACCUGAGAGGGUGAUCGGCCACACUGGGACUGAGACACGGCCCAGACUCCUACGGGAGGCAGCAGUAGGGAAUCUUCGGCAAUGGACGAAAGGCUGACCGAGCAACGCCGCGUGAGGGAAGAAGGGUUUCGGAUCGUAAAGCUCUGUUGUAAGAGAAGAACGGGUGUGAGAGUGGAAAGUUCACACUGUGACGGUAUCUUACCAGAAAGGGACGGCUAACUACGUG